UGCCUUUUCUCCCGAUGCCGUUGCAGCUCAGAACACAGGUGAAGUGCCUUUUCUCCCGAUGACGUUGCAGCUCAGAACACAGGUGAAGUGCCUUUUCUCCCGAUGACGUUGCAGCUCAGAACACAGGUGAAGUGCCUUUUCUCCCGAUGACGUUGCAGCUCAGAACACAGGUGAAGUGCCUUUUCUCCCGAUGACGUUGCAGCUCAGAACACAGGUGAAGUGCCUUUUCUCCCGAUGACGUUGCAGCUCAGAACACAGGUGAAGUGCCUUUUCUCCCGAUGCCGUUGCAGCUCAGAACACAGGUGAAGUGCCUUUUCUCCCGAUGACGUUGCAGCUCAGAACACAGGUGAAGUGCCUUUUCUCCCGAUGACGUUGCAGCUCAGAACACAGGUGAAGUGCCUUUUCUCCCGAUGACGUUGCAGCUCAGAAUACAGGUGUAGUGCCUUUUCUCCCGAUGCCGUGCAGCUCAGAACACAGGUGAAGUGCGUUCUUUCAUGCCCAGUUGUUUUCAGCGUGACGGAUGAUUCGCCUUUCCUGUUGACAGUCCGAGUGAGAGGCAGGUCAAACGUCAGAGGAACCCCAUCCAUAUUUAUGAUGUCGUGCGGGCCGAUGGAAUGCCCCUCUAUCUUUGCAUCAGUGAAUUUGAGGGAAGUUUGUAACUUUUUCCUCGUAGUCGGGAGCUGCUGACACAGACUCGUCUGUACCCUGAUGGACAGGCCUUUAUGUCUCAUAAAUCUUAGACACCACGAUGGUCCACCUCUAAAAUCCUCAAACUUCAUUGCGGUGGCGAUUUGUUUUGGCUUUCAGUCGGAUCUGCACAGUUGAAACACCUCGGCCGUCUGCUCUCUGUGUGUUGACCCAGUCUUCAAGCUCAUUUUACAUUUACAUUACAUUUAAGUCAUUUAGCAGACGCUCUUAUCCAGAGCGAUUUACAAAUUGGUGCAUUCACCUUAUGACAUCCAGUGGAACAGCCACUUUACAAUAGUGCAUCUAAAUCUUUUAAGGGGGGGGGGGUGAGAAGGAUUACUUUAUCCUAUCCUAGGUAUUCCUUAAAGAGGUGGGGUUUCAGGUGUCUCCGGAAGGUGGUGAUUGACUCCGCUGUCCUGGCGUCGUGAGGGAGUUUGUUCCACCAUUGGGGGGCCAGAGCAGCGAACAGUUUUGACUGGGCUGAGCGGGAACUGUACUUCCUCAGUGGUAGGGAGGCGAGCAGGCCAGAGGUGGAUGAACGCAGUGCCCUUGUUUGGGUGUAGGGCCUGAUCAGAGCCUGGAGGUACUGAGGUGCCGU